rnacentral:rRNA from 1 species
GACGAACGCUGGCGGCGUGCUUAACACAUGCAAGUCGAACGGACAGGCCCUGCUUUUGUGUGGUGCUCGAUUGGCGCACGGGUGAGUAACACGUGAGUAACCUGCCCUUGACUUUGGGAUAACUUCACGAAACUGGGGCUCAUACCGGAUAGGAUCUCCUGCUGCAUGGUGGUGGUUGGAAAGUUUCGGCGGUUGGGGAUGGACUCGCGGCUUAUCCGCUUGUUUGUGUGGUAGUGGCUUACCAAGGGUUCGACGGGUAGCCGGCCUGAGAGGGUGAACGGCCACAAUGGGACUGAGAGACGGCCCAGAAUGCUACGGGAGGCAGCAGUGGGGAAUAUUGCAGAAUGAGCGGAAGCGUGAGGUAGAAACGCCGCGUGCGGGAUAACGGGCUACGGGUUGUAAACCGAUGUCGAAGGUGACGAAGAGAGAGUGACGGUAAUGGGUAAAGAAGCACCGGCUAACUACGUG